GACGGAUUCUUCGGAUAUGAGUGGCGAACGGGUGAGUAACACGUCGGGAACCUGCCUGCAUGAGCGGGAGAACUUCUGGAAACGGAAGCUGAUACCGGAUGAGCAAAGAGGAGGCAUCUUCUUUUUGGAAAAGGGGACAAGAGUCCCGCAUGCAGAUGGACCUGCGGUGCAUUAGCUGGUUGGAGAGGUAACGGCUCACCAAGGCGACGAUGCAUAGCCGGCCUGAGAGGGCGGACGGCCACACUGGGACUGAGACACGGCCCAGACUCCUGCGGGAGGCAGCAGUAGGGAAUUUUCGUCAAUGGGGGGAACCCUGAACGAGCAAUGCCGCGUGAGCGAGGAAGGUCUUCGGAUCGUAAAGCUCUGUUGCCGGGGACAAAAGGCAGAAAGAGUGGAAAGCUUUCUGAGUGAUGGUACCCGGCGAGGAAGUCACGGCUAACUACGUGCCAGCAGCCGCGGUAAUACGUAGGUGGCGAGCGUUAUCCGGAAUGAUUGGGCGUAAAGGGUGCGCAGGCGGCCGGGCAAGUCCGCAGUAAAAACUGGAGGCUCAACCUUCAGGGGCUGCGGAAACUGUCCGGCUGGAGAGCAGGAGAGGACGGUGGAACUCCAUGUGUAGCGGUAAAAUGCGUAGAUAUAUGGAAGAACACCGGUGGCGAAGGCGGCCGUCUGGCCUGCAUCUGACGCUGAGGCACGAAAGCGUGGGGAGCAAAUAGGAUUAGAUACCCUAGUAGUCCACGCUGUAAACGAUGAGGACCAAGUGUUGGAGGUAAAACUUCAGUGCUGCAGUCAACGCAAUGAGUCCUCCGCCUGGGGGAGUAUGCACGCAAG
rnacentral:rRNA from 1 species